rnacentral:rRNA from 1 species
GUGCCAGCCGCCGCGGUAAAACCAGCACCUCAAGUGGUCAGGAUGAUUAUUGGGCCUAAAGCAUCCGUAGCCGGCUUUGUUAGUUUUCGGUUAAAUCUAUAUGCUCAACAUAUAGGCUGCCGGGAAUACUACAAAGCUAGGGAGUGGGAGAGGUAGACGGUACUCCGUAGGAAGGGGUAAAAUCCUUUGAUCUAUGGAUGACCACCUGUGGCGAAGGCGGUCUACCAGAACACGUCCGACGGUGAGGGAUGAAAGCUGGGGGAGCAAACCGGAUUAGAUACCCGGGUAGUCCCAGCUGUAAACUAUGCAAACUCAGUGAUGCAUUGGCUUGUGGCCAGUGCAGUGCCGCAGGGAAGCCGUUAAGUUUGCCGCCUGGGAAGUACGUACGCAAGUAUGAAACUUAAAGGAAUUGGCGGGGGAGCACCACAAGGGGUGAAGCCUGCGGUUCAAUUGGAGUCAACGCCAGAAAUCUUACCCGGAGAGACAGCAGGAUGAAGGUCAAGCUGAAGACUUUACCAGACAAGCUGAGAAGUGGUGCAUGGCCGUCGCCAGCUCGUGCCGUGAGGUGUCCUGUUAAGUCAGGUAACGAGCGAGAUCCUUGCCUCUAGUUGCCACCAUUACUCUCAGGAGUAGUGGGGCGAAUUAGCGGGACUGCCGUAGUUAAUACGGAGGAAGGAGAGGGCCACGGCAGGUCAGUAUGCCCUGAAACUUUGGGGCCACACGCGGGCUGCAAUGGUAGUGACAAUGUGUUCCGAAUCCGAAAGGAGGAGGUAAUCCAAAAACGCUACCACAGUUAUGACUGAGGGCUGCAACUCGCCCUCACGAAUAUGGAAUCCCUAGUAACUGCGUGUCAUUAUCGCGCGGUGAAUACGUCCCUGCUCCUUGCACACACCGCCCGUC